rnacentral:rRNA from 1 species
CCUACGGGAGGCAGCAGUGGGGAAUAUUGCACAAUGGGCGAAAGCCUGAUGCAGCAACGCCGCGUGAGUGAUGAAGGCCUUCGGGUCGUAAAACUCUGUCCUCAAGGAAGAUAAUGACGGUACUUGAGGAGGAAGCCCCGGCUAACUACGUGCCAGCAGCCGCGGUAAUACGUAGGGGGCUAGCGUUAUCCGGAUUUACUGGGCGUAAAGGGUGCGUAGGCGGUCUUUCAAGUCAGGAGUGAAAGGCUACGGCUCAACCGUAGUAAGCUCUUGAAACUGGGAGACUUGAGUGCAGGAGAGGAGAGUGGAAUUCCUAGUGUAGCGGUGAAAUGCGUAGAUAUUAGGAGGAACACCAGUUGCGAAGGCGGCUCUCUGGACUGUAACUGACGCUGAGGCACGAAAGCGUGGGGAGCAAACAGGAUUAGAUACCCCAGUAGUC